GCCUAGCUAGCUGGAGGGUAGUGCGUCUUGUAAGCGCAAGGUCGCGGGUUCGAUUCCCGCCCGGGGCG
rnacentral:tRNA from 1 species